AGCGAACGCUGGCGGCAGGCCUAACACAUGCAAGUCGAACGAACUCUUCGGAGUUAGUGGCGGACGGGUGAGUAACACGUGGGAAUCUGCCCUUGGGUUCGGAACAACAGUUGGAAACGACUGCUAAUACCGGAUGAUGACUUCGGUCCAAAGAUUUAUCGCCCAGGGAUGAGCCCGCGUAGGAUUAGCUUGUUGGUGAGGUAAAAGCUCACCAAGGCGACGAUCCUUAGCUGGUCUGAGAGGAUGAUCAGCCACACUGGGACUGAGACACGGCCCAGACUCCUACGGGAGGCAGCAGUGGGGAAUAUUGGACAAUGGGCGAAAGCCUGAUCCAGCAAUGCCGCGUGAGUGAUGAAGGCCUUAGGGUUGUAAAGCUCUUUUACCCGGGAUGAUAAUGACAGUACCGGGAGAAUAAGCCCCGGCUAACUCCGUGCCAGCCGCCGCCGUAAAAC
rnacentral:rRNA from 1 species